UACAGAGGGUGCAAGCGUUAAUCGGAAUUACUGGGCGUAAAGCGUGCGUAGACGGUUAUUUAAGUCAGGUGUGAAAGCCCCGGGCUCAACCUGGGAAUUGCAUUUGAGACUGAAUAGCUAGGGUGCGGAAGAGGGAAGCGGAAUUUCCGGUGUAGCGGUGAAAUGCGUAGAUAUCGGAAGGAACACCAGUGGCGAAAAGCGGCUUCCUGGUCCAGCACCGACGUUCAGGCACGAAAGCGUGGGGGAGCAAACAGG
rnacentral:rRNA from 1 species